rnacentral:rRNA from 1 species
AGAGUUUGAUCCUGGCUCAGGAUGAACGCUGGCGGUCUGCUUAACACAUGCAAGUCGAACGAAUCCUUUCGGGGAUUAGUGGCGGACGGGUGAGUAACGCGUGAGAAUCUGCCAAAAGGACUGGGACAACCACUGGAAACGGUGGCUAAUACCAGAUGUGCCGCAACGUAAAAGAGGAAACUCGCCUUUUGAGGAGCUCGCGUCUGAUUAGCUAGUUGGUGAGGUAAAAGCUCACCAAGGCAACGAUCAGUAGCUGGUCUGAGAGGACGACCAGCCACACUGGGACUGAGACACGGCCCAGACUCCUACGGGAGGCAGCAGUGGGGAAUUUUCCGCAAUGGGCGAAAGCCUGACGGAGCAAGACCGCGUGAGGGAGGAAGGCUCUUGGGUCGUAAACCUCUUUUGUCAGGGAAGAACACAAUGACGGUACUUGAGGAAUCAGCAUCGGCUAACUCCGUGCCAGCAGCCGCGGUAAUACGGAGGAUGCAAGCGUUAUCCGGAAUGAUUGGGCGUAAAGCGUCCGCAGGUGGCAAUGUAAGUCUGCUGUUAAAGAGUGAGGCUUAACCUCAUAAAAGCAGUGGAAACUAUAUCGCUAGAGUGUGGUAGGGGCAGAGGGAAUUAAGAGAGUAGCGGUGAAAUGCGUAGAUACUCUUAAGAACACCAGUGGCGAAAGCGCCCUGCUAGACCGCAACUGACACUCAUGGACGAAAGCUAGGGGAGCAAAUGGGAUUAGAUACCCCAGUAGUCC